rnacentral:rRNA from 1 species
UACGGAGGGUGCAAACGUUGCUCGGAAUCAUUGGGCGUAAAGCGCACGUAGGCGGUUUGUCAAGUCGGGUGUGAAAGCCCCGGGCUUAACCCGGGAAGUGCAUUCGAAACUGACAAACUUGAAUAUGGAAGAGGGUCGCGGAAUUCCCGGUGUAGAGGUGAAAUUCGUAGAUAUCGGGAGGAACACCAGUGGCGAAGGCGGCGACCUGGGCCAAUAUUGACGCUGAGGUGCGAAAGCGUGGGGAGCAAACAG